GACGAACGCUGGCGGCGUGCUUAACACAUGCAAGUCGAACGGUGAAGGGUUCUUCUUUUGUGGGCCCUGGAUGAGUGGCGUACGUGUGAGUAACACGUGAGUCACCUGCCCCCUUCUUCUGGAUAACCGCAUGAAAGUGUUGCUAAUACGGGAUAUUCUGUGUCUGUCGCAUGUUGGGUCUUGGAAAGAUUGCGCCUUUGGGUGUUUUUGGUUGGGGAUGGGCUCGCGGCCUAUCAGCUUGUUGGUGGGGUGAUGGCCUACCAGGGCGGUGACGGGUAGCCGGUGUGAGAGAGGGGACGGUCACAGGGGGACUGAGACACGGCGCAGAAUCCUACGGGAGGAAGCAGUGGGGAAUAAUGCACAAUGGGCGCAAGACUGAUGCAGCGACGCCGCGUGAGGGAUGGAGGCCUUCGGGUUGUAAACCUCUUGUGGCAGUGAAGCAGGCCUGAUCCUGGUGGGUGGGUUGACGGUAGCUGGAUAAGAAGCGCCGGCUAACUACGUG
rnacentral:rRNA from 1 species